UCUCCGUUGGUGAACCAGCGGAGGGAUCAUUACAGGACUCGCAAGACUCCUACAACCCUGUGAACUUAACUAUAAGCACGUUGCUUCGGCGGGUGUCUCGGAGGGGGUUCUCCCUCCCCGGGACGCUAAACCCGCCGGCAGCCUACUAUACUCUGUCUCUUUGCGUUGGGAUCUCGAGUACAAUCAAACAAGUUAAAACUUUCAACAACGGAUCUCUUGGUUCUG
rnacentral:misc_RNA from 1 species